GUCCACGCCCUAAACGAUGAUGACUAGUUGUUGGAGGAGUUAAAUCCUUUAGUAACGCAGCUAACGCGUGAAGUCAUCCGCCUGUGGAGUACGGUCGCAAGAUUAAAACUCAAAGGAAUUGACGGGGGCCCUCACAAGCGGUGGAUGAUGUGGUUUAAUUCGAUGCAACGCGAAAACCUUACCUACCCUUGACAUGCCAGGAACGCUCCAGAAAUGGGGCGGUGCCCGAAAGGGAACCUGGACACAGGUGCUGCAUGGCUGUCGU
rnacentral:rRNA from 1 species